rnacentral:rRNA from 1 species
GAUGAACGCUGGCGGCGUGCCUAAUACAUGCAAGUCGAGCGAACAGACGAGGAGCUUGCUCCUCUGACGUUAGCCGCGCACGGGUGAGUAACACGUGGAUAACCUACCUAUCAGACUGGGAUAACUUCGGGAAACCGGAGCUAAUACCGGAUAAGAUAUUGAACCGCAUGGUGCAAUAGUGAGAGACGGCUGUGCUGGCACUUCUCGAUGGAUCUGCGCCGCAUUAGCUAGUUGGUAAGGUAACGGCCUACCAAGGCGACGAGGCGUAGGCGAACUGAGGGGGUGAUAGGCCACACGGGAACUGGGACACGGUCCAUGCUCCUACGGGACGCAGCAGUAGGGAAUCUUCCGCAAUGGGCGAAAGCCUGACGGAGCAACGCCGCGUGAGUGAUAGAGGUCUUCGGAUCGUAAAAAUCUGUUAUUAGGGAAAAACAAAUGUGUAAGUAACUAUGCACGUCUUGACGGUACCUAAUCAGAAAGCCACGGCUAACUACGUG